CCUUCGGGAGCUUUUAUACAGGUGCUGCAGGGCUGUCGUCGGCUCGUGUCGUGAGAUGUUGGGUUAAGUCCCGCAACGAGCGCAACCCUCGUCACUAGUUACUAACGGUUCGGCCGAGGACUCUAGUGAGACUGCCUUCGUAAGGAGGAGGAAGGUGAGGACGACGUCAAGUCAUCAUGGCCCUUACGGCUAGGGCAACACACGUGCUACAAUGGCCAGGACAGUGAGAAGCGAUACCGCGAGGUGGAGCAAAUCUAUAAACCUGGUCUCAGUUCGGAUUGUAGUCUGCAACUCGACUACAUGAAGCUGGAAUCACUAGUAAUCGUAGAUCAGCUAUGCUACGGUGAAUACGUUCCCGGGUCUUGUACUCACCGCCCGUCACACCAUGGGAGUUGAUUUCACCCGAAGCGGGGAAGCUAAACUGGCUACCCUCCACGGUGGAAUCAGCGACUGGGGUGAAGUCGUAACAAGGUA
rnacentral:rRNA from 1 species